GGCGCUAUAGUGUAGUGGCAUCACAUGGGAUUCUGAGUACGGUCUUCCCAUAACCCAGGUUCGACCCCUGGUAGUGCCU